UCCCACUCGAUCGCGCCUCCCCUUCUCCCCCAGAUCCAAUCGCCCUUGUCCCCCUUCACCUUGCCGUCGGCCUAACUCUCCCCCUCUCUUCUUCGCCCCACCCCACUCGCUCCACCUACCGCGUCCACAGAGCCAGAACCCCUCGCCCCGCCGUGUGCCCUCGUCGGCUCGGCCAUGUCCUCAUCGGCCCAUGGGUUCCCAUCGAGGAGAUCGAGGAUGCCGCGCGUUUUCCUUCUCCUCUUUCUCAUUGCGCUGCCGCGUUCAAGUAGAAUGACCCGACGCCGACGCCAAGUGGUUAUGCUUGCAGGCCAGGGAGCGACGCCGACCAAGACGAGGAUGACGACACCGUGAUGGAGGUCGAUGGCGCUGAGGUCGAGGAGGCCGCCCAGGACAAGUCCGCUGCCAAGGCGCUCUGGACCAAGAUCAGCUCGGGCUCGGGUGCCAUGAGGGUGCUCGUGCUCCCGUGGCUGACCCCUCCUGGGGACCUCGACAAGGUUUGGGGCCAGGGAGAAGCUGCUCGAUCUGACAAGUUUGGAUGCCCUCCAUGCCGCCCUUGCCGAUGCACAGGUUGAAUGUAUCGAUGUCCAGCGUUGUUAGCACUCUCAAACUUGAGCGCGCUGUAACAAGUCUAACAAGUCGGUUGUUUUACUGUGAGAUAGAUUUGGAUUUUUCAUGUCUUAAACACGCAUGUAGUAGCAGUACACCGUUUGAUGCAGAUCGAUCAGGCUGCUACGCAUACGUGCAUGUGUGCUGGUCCGAGAUCCUGCCAUGCCAUCGCUGAUUAAACAGUACUCUGCAUGUUCCCUUUGUUAAAAGAAUGAACAUUGUCGAUGUGCCAACCAUGGGUGCUGCCGCAUCGGGCUUCCUGCCUGGCCAGGAGAACUACAUCAUCUAUAUGAUCAGCCAACUGAGGAAAUGAUUUCAUGGAUGAGCAACAGAGACUACACAACGACAACUCCAGGCUCCUCCAAGAGGUCAAGGACAUGAGGAGGGAGCUGAUUAGUGGCAAGGACCUCGUUGCAGAGUCCUGCAGGGUGCUCGAAGAGAACGUGAAGGUCCACCAGGAGGUCAAGGACUCCCGCACCACCAUGAAGAAGAUGUAUCCCACAAUUCAUAUAUGCGGCUGUUAUCUGGGUUUCCUAUUUGUCGGUGCUUCAAGAAUCAAGAACUCUAAUUUUCUUGAUGUUGUUGUUAUUGGCUCGUUUCCACAAGUUGUAUCCUGCAACUCAUAUUCUGUAAUGAUGUCCAGCGUUGCUCUUGCUACUCUAUUUUUAACGGAAUGAUUAAAUCUUUUUGAGAGUUUUUUACAGCACAAUAUUCUCUCUCCUUUUCUGUGGGUGGAGAAGUUGUGAUGUCUCAGUGUGAAUGAGUUAAUGAUAAGUAUAAUAUGAUGAAAUCGAGUCUAGGUGCUAGCGCCCAGUGUCCUUUAACACUUGCUUACCAUUUUACCAACUCAUUCACAUUUAAUGUCCUUGUGGCAGCCAGCGCCAUGAAGACUGCAACGCCACUAGCGCAAGACCUGCAGCUGGCCUAGUCUUAUUUUUACUCUUAGUUUUGCCUCACAGGAUUCACGCUUAAUUUCUUGGGCAGCGAUUAGUUCAGUUGAUGACUUGUACCUGCUGAUCACCUAUACAUGUUCAGAACACAUGAUACGAUAUAGUAAGUAAAGUAAGCAACUCAUAUUUUAUAAACCUAUUUGUGCAUUUAUAAACCUGCUGAUCACCAAUACAGAUUUAGACCUGCAGUUGGCUACUUUUCCUCAAGUUAUUUGUGCAUUUAUAAACCUAUUUGAACUUUUCUAGUUCUUGAAUGUA